rnacentral:lncRNA from 1 species
AAUUAGCCACUUGAUUAUUUUAACAAAUCCCUCUUCUGCCUCUUAGUCAUGCUCAAAUCUGAGCUACCAUGUGUCUACUGAGCUUAAAAUUACCCACAACCCACAAUAGAAGGCAAGUAGGAUUUGACAGUGUAUGACAUGGUAAUCUAGCUUUAUAAAAUCCAAAUUGAUCAGGAUAUGCACAAAUAUGUUUACAUAUUUGCAUCCCUAGCGUCACUUAUAGGAUUGUAAUUAAUAGCAACCAUGGAGAGAGUCGGUUCAUUUUAUUAUGAGCAGGUCUCUUCUUCUACAUCCUGAAGAUCUGCUAAAAUAUGAAGUGAAUUUCCUGUUUUAUCUCACAUUUACCAAUUACACAUUGAAAUAUUGUGUUUGUUAAGAGAGUUUGAUUUGUACUUUGGAAGUUUUGGGAUUGGAGACAUCACCCUUCUUGUCCGCUGCCCAACUCCGUCGCGGCCCAGGCCUAGCAGGCGAUAGAGGCACCACGAGGACUCACUACAAAGAAGCCGUGGGAGGAGGACCCCGACUCGGAUGACGACUGCUGAAAGAUCACGCACUUCUUUGGCCCACAGACCGGCUCCGCUUACGGCUUAUCCAAGGUAUCUCCUUGUGCAGCUUCACUAUCGCUCGUGUGCCUCGUGCAAAUAAAUAAAGCUACCUAGCACCGGCUCUUAUUUCUCUAUGCCUACGUAGUGUUUGUGCCGAUUCUUAUUUAUAUGUGCCUACAUGGAAUACAAUUCUUAUUUGUCUGAACCAGUGAGCAUUUCAUUCAGUUUGUUUCUGUCCAUGAGUAACAAUUUUUUGGAAGCAUAUGUACAUAUUUAGCAAUCCAGCUAUGCUUUGUGCACUUUCUGCUGAGCUAGGCAAUGUUCACUGCAGCUAGCAAGAACCUGUUAACGGCUGUGAUAGAUCAAAAGUGAAAGGAGUGGUUGCACGCUUAUUAUUAAGAUAAAGGACAACUCCACAGCAAUGGUGAUGGAGAUCUAUUUAGCAACCUCCUCAUUUUGGUUCUGAAGUUAUUUACCCUUUUCAGUGAAGGAACUGGUUUUGCGGCAUCAGUUAUGUGUGUUGUGUAUGUAGGUUGGAGCUUCACCGGCGCCAUGGUUGUGCUCGGAGGAGGAUCGCCGAUGCCCGCCGCCGCUGUCUUCCACAUGCUCCUCCUCACGACCACGGGUGGACGUUGGCUGAGGUCUAGCCUCCCAUCCACACGCAGGUACUCCCCCACUCCCCUCUGUGCCCUCUCUCUGUUAAACUAAGGAAGGGGGCCUAUAUGUUUCAUCUUGUCAAUCUAAUUUGUCUGUGCAUAUUAGUAUAUAGUCACAUUCAGAAAAGCUUGACUGCACAGUAAGAGAGUUUGUAUCUUUUUGUUUUUCAGAUUAUGCAAGUAUCUGCUUGGUCUGCAUAUUAGUACCGACUAGCAAGCACAGG